CACACAUGGCUGAUGGUCCCUCACUCAGCUGCUGAACACAUAAAUGGUUCCAUUUCCACUACAUGCUUCACUGAGGAGCAUUUCCAACCCCACAGAAGCAAGAUGAGCUCAAAGACUCCCCUUCUCUGGCUGCUGCUUUUCUGGAUUCAGGGUUCCAGUGGGCAGAUUGUCAUGACUCAGACUCCAGAAUCUCUCUCAGUGUCUGUGGGAGAGACCGUCACUAUCAAAUGCAAAGCCAGCACAAGCAUUAGCAACUACAUCGCUUGGUACCAACAGAAACCUGGACAGGCUCCCAAGCUUCUUAUCUAUGACGCCAGCAGCCGUCCCACGGGCAUCCCAGACCGGUUCAGUGGCACUGGGUCUGGCACUGAUUUCACAUUCACAAUCAGCAGGGUUGAAGCUGGAGAUGCUGGAGAUUAUUACUGUCAGCAGCAUUAUACCACCCCUCUCACACAGUGA